UACGAAGGGGGCUAGCGUUGCUCGGAAUGACUGGGCGUAAAGGGCCGCGUAGGCGGAUGACACAGUCAGAUGUGAAAUUCCCGGGCUUAACCUGGGGGCUGCAUUUGAUACGUGUUGUCUAGAGUGAGGAAGAGGGUUGUGGAAUUCCCAGUGUAGAGGUGAAAUUCGUAGAUAUUGGGAAGAACACCGGUGGCGAAGGCGGCAACCUGGUCCUUGCUGACGCGAGGCGCGAAAGCGUGGGGAGCAAACAGG
rnacentral:rRNA from 1 species